UACGUAGGGUGCAAGCGUUGUCCGGAAUUAUUGGGCGUAAAGAGCUCGUAGGCGGUCUGUCACGUCGGCUGUGAAAACCCGAGGCUCAACCUCGGGCCUGCAGUCGAUACGGGCAAACUAGAGUACUGCAGGGGAGACUGGAAUUCCUGGUGUAGCGGUGAAAUGCGUAGAUAUUGGGAGGAACACCAGUGGCGAAGGCGGCUCACUGGACCGGAACUGACGCUGAGGCGCGAAAGCCAGGGGAGCAAACGGG
rnacentral:rRNA from 1 species